rnacentral:rRNA from 1 species
UUAAGUUAUUAAGGGCGCACGGUGGAUGCCUUGGCACUAGAAGCCGAUGAAGGACGUUACUAACGACGAUAUGCUUUGGGGAGCUGUAAGUAAGCUUUGAUCCAGAGAUUUCCGAAUGGGGAAACCCAGCAUGAGUUAUGUCAUGUUAUCGAUAUGUGAAUACAUAGCAUAUCAGAAGGCACACCCGGAGAACUGAAACAUCUUAGUACCCGGAGGAAGAGAAAGAAAAUUCGAUUCCCUUAGUAGCGGCGAGUGAAACGGGAAGAGCCCAAACCAACAAGCUUGCUUGUUGGGGUUGUAGGACACUCUAUACGGAGUUACAAAGGACGACAUUAGACGAAUCAUCUGGAAAGAUGAAUCAAAGAAGGUAAUAAUCCUGUAGUCGAAAAUGUUGUCUCUCUUGAGUGGAUCCUGAGUACGACGGAGCACGUGAAAUUCCGUCGGAAUCUGGGAGGACCAUCUCCUAAGGCUAAAUACUCUCUAGUGACCGAUAGUGAACCAGUACCGUGAGGGAAAGGUGAAAAGCACCCCGGAAGGGGAGUGAAAUAGAACCUGAAACCGUGUGCUUACAAGUAGUCAGAGCCCGUUAAUGGGUGAUGGCGUGCCUUUUGUAGAAUGAACCGGCGAGUUACGAUUUGAUGCAAGGUUAAGCAGUAAAUGUGGAGCCGUAGCGAAAGCGAGUCUGAAUAGGGCGUUUAGUAUUUGGUCGUAGACCCGAAACCAGGUGAUCUACCCUUGGUCAGGUUGAAGUUCAGGUAACACUGAAUGGAGGACCGAACCGACUUACGUUGAAAAGUGAGCGGAUGAACUGAGGGUAGCGGAGAAAUUCCAAUCGAACCUGGAGAUAGCUGGUUCUCUCCGAAAUAGCUUUAGGGCUAGCCUCAAGUGAUGAUUAUUGGAGGUAGAGCACUGUUUGGACGAGGGGCCCCUCUCGGGUUACCGAAUUCAGACAAACUCCGAAUGCCAAUUAAUUUAACUUGGGAGUCAGAACAUGGGUGAUAAGGUCCGUGUUCGAAAGGGAAACAGCCCAGACCACCAGCUAAGGUCCCAAAAUAUAUGUUAAGUGGAAAAGGAUGUGGCGUUGCCCAGACAACUAGGAUGUUGGCUUAGAAGCAGCCAUCAUUUAAAGAGUGCGUAAUAGCUCACUAGUCGAGUGACACUGCGCCGAAAAUGUACCGGGGCUAAACAUAUUACCGAAGCUGUGGAUUGUCCUUUGGACAAUGGUAGGAGAGCGUUCUAAGGGCGUUGAAGCAUGAUCGUAAGGACAUGUGGAGCGCUUAGAAGUGAGAAUGCCGGUGUGAGUAGCGAAAGACGGGUGAGAAUCCCGUCCACCGAUUGACUAAGGUUUCCAGAGGAAGGCUCGUCCGCUCUGGGUUAGUCGGGUCCUAAGCUGAGGCCGACAGGCGUAGGCGAUGGAUAACAGGUUGAUAUUCCUGUACCACCUAUAAUCGUUUUAAUCGAUGGGGGGACGCAGUAGGAUAGGCGAAGCGUGCGAUUGGAUUGCACGUCUAAGCAGUAAGGCUGAGUAUUAGGCAAAUCCGGUACUCGUUAAGGCUGAGCUGUGAUGGGGAGAAGACAUUGUGUCUUCGAGUCGUUGAUUUCACACUGCCGAGAAAAGCCUCUAGAUAGAAAAUAGGUGCCCGUACCGCAAACCGACACAGGUAGUCAAGAUGAGAAUUCUAAGGUGAGCGAGCGAACUCUCGUUAAGGAACUCGGCAAAAUGACCCCGUAACUUCGGGAGAAGGGGUGCUCUUUAGGGUUAACGCCCAGAAGAGCCGCAGUGAAUAGGCCCAAGCGACUGUUUAUCAAAAACACAGGUCUCUGCUAAACCGUAAGGUGAUGUAUAGGGGCUGACGCCUGCCCGGUGCUGGAAGGUUAAGAGGAGUGGUUAGCUUCUGCGAAGCUACGAAUCGAAGCCCCAGUAAACGGCGGCCGUAACUAUAACGGUCCUAAGGUAGCGAAAUUCCUUGUCGGGUAAGUUCCGACCCGCACGAAAGGCGUAACGAUUUGGGCACUGUCUCAACGAGAGACUCGGUGAAAUCAUAGUACCUGUGAAGAUGCAGGUUACCCGCGACAGGACGGAAAGACCCCGUGGAGCUUUACUGUAGCCUGAUAUUGAAAUUCGGCACAGCUUGUACAGGAUAGGUAGGAGCCUUUGAAACGUGAGCGCUAGCUUACGUGGAGGCGCUGGUGGGAUACUACCCUAGCUGUGUUGGCUUUCUAACCCGCACCACUUAUCGUGGUGGGAGACAGUGUCAGGCGGGCAGUUUGACUGGGGCGGUCGCCUCCUAAAAGGUAACGGAGGCGCUCAAAGGUUCCCUCAGAAUGGUUGGAAAUCAUUCAUAGAGUGUAAA